rnacentral:rRNA from 1 species
CCUACGGGGGGCAGCAGUGGGGAAUAUUGGACAAUGGGCGAAAGCCUGAUCCAGCCAUGCCGCGUGUGUGAAGAAGGCCUUCGGGUUGUAAAGCACUUUCAGUGGGGAAGAAAGCCUUGGGGCUAAUACCCUCGAGGAAGGACAUCACCCACAGAAGAAGCACCGGCUAACUCCGUGCCAGCAGCCGCGGUAAUACGGAGGGUGCGAGCGUUAAUCGGAAUUACUGGGCGUAAAGCGCGCGUAGGCGGUCUGAUAAGCCGGUUGGGAAAGCCCCGGGCUCAACCUGGGAACGGCAUCCGGAACUGUCAGGCUAGAGUGCAGGAGAGGAAGGUAGAAUUCCCGGUGUAGCGGUGAAAUGCGUAGAGAUCGGGAGGAAUACCAGUGGCGAAGGCGGUCUUCUGGACUGACACUGACGCUGAGGUGCGAAAGCGUGGGUAGCAAACAGGAUUAGAUACCCGAGUAGUC